CCUACGGGAGGCAGCAGUGGGGAAUAUUGCGCAAUGGGCGAAAGCCUGACGCAGCGACGCCGCGUGAGGGAUGAAGGUCUUCGGAUCGUAAACCUCUGUCAGCAGGGAAGAACGGUCACUGUGCUAAUCAGCAGUGAAUUGACGGUACCUGAAAAGGAAGCACCGGCUAACGCCGUGCCAGCAGCGGCGGUAAUACGGAGGGUGAGAGCGUUAAUCGGUAUUACUGGGCGUAAGACGCUCGUAGGCGUGAUGUCAAGUCAAGGGUGAAAGCCCCGCGCUCAACGUGGGAACUGCCUGUGAAACUGGCAAACUGGAGUGUGUGAGAGGAUAGUGGAAUGCCAGGUGUAGGAGUGAAAGCCGUAGAUAUCUGGAGGAACAUCAGUGGCGAAGGCGACUAUCUGGCACAUAACUGACGCUGAGGAGCGAAAGCGUGGGUAGCAAACAGGAUUAGAUACCCUAGUAGUC
rnacentral:rRNA from 1 species